rnacentral:rRNA from 1 species
GCUAGCUACAGGCUUAACACAUGCAAGUCGAGGGGCAGCAUGGUCUUAGCUUGCUAAGGCCGAUGGCGACCGGCGCACGGGUGAGUAACACGUAUCCAACCUGCCGUCUACUCUUGGACAGCCUUCUGAAAGGAAGAUUAAUACAAGAUGGCAUCAUGAGUCCGCAUGUUCACAUGAUUAAAGGUAUUCCGGUAGACGAUGGGGAUGCGUUCCAUUAGAUAGUAGGCGGGGUAACGGCCCACCUAGUCUUCGAUGGAUAGGGGUUCUGAGAGGAAGGUCCCCCACAUUGGAACUGAGACACGGUCCAAACUCCUACGGGAGGCAGCAGUGAGGAAUAUUGGUCAAUGGGCGAGAGCCUGAACCAGCCAAGUAGCGUGAAGGAUGACUGCCCUAUGGGUUGUAAACUUCUUUUAUAAAGGAAUAAAGUCGGGUAUGGAUACCCGUUUGCAUGUACUUUAUGAAUAAGGAUCGGCUAACUCCGUGCCAGCAGCCGCGGUAAUACGGAGGAUCCGAGCGUUAUCCGGAUUUAUUGGGUUUAAAGGGAGCGUAGAUGGAUGUUUAAGUCAGUUGUGAAAGUUUGCGGCUCAACCGUAAAAUUGCAGUUGAUACUGGAUAUCUUGAGUGCAGUUGAGGCAGGCGGAAUUCGUGGUGUAGCGGUGAAAUGCUUAGAUAUCACGAAGAACUCCGAUUGCGAAGGCAGCCUGCUAAGCUGCAACUGACAUUGAGGCUCGAAAGUGUGGGUAUCAAACAGGAUUAGAUACCCUGGUAGUCCACACGGUAAACGAUGAAUACUCGCUGUUUGCGAUAUACAGCAAGCGGCCAAGCGAAAGCGUUAAGUAUUCCACCUGGGGAGUACGCCGGCAACGGUGAAACUCAAAGGAAUUGACGGGGGCCCGCACAAGCGGAGGAACAUGUGGUUUAAUUCGAUGAUACGCGAGGAACCUUACCCGGGCUUAAAUUGCAGAUGAAUUACGGUGAAAGCCGUAAGCCGCAAGGCAUCUGUGAAGGUGCUGCAUGGUUGUCGUCAGCUCGUGCCGUGAGGUGUCGGCUUAAGUGCCAUAACGAGCGCAACCCUUGUUGUCAGUUACUAACAGGUUCCGCUGAGGACUCUGACAAGACUGCCAUCGUAAGAUGUGAGGAAGGUGGGGAUGACGUCAAAUCAGCACGGCCCUUACGUCCGGGGCUACACACGUGUUACAAUGGGGGGUACAGAGGGCCGCUACCACGCGAGUGGAUGCCAAUCCCCAAAACCUCUCUCAGUUCGGACUGGAGUCUGCAACCCGACUCCACGAAGCUGGAUUCGCUAGUAAUCGCGCAUCAGCCACGGCGCGGUGAAUACGUUCCCGGGCCUUGUACACACCGCCCGUCAAGCCAUGGGAGCCGGGGGUACCUGAAGUGCGUAACCGCGAGGAGCGCCCUAGGGUAAAACUGGUGACUGGGGC